CAGUAGCCACGGGAAUACGAAGGGUGCAAGCGUUACUCGGAAUUACUGGGCGUAAAGCGUGCGUAGGUGGUGGUUUAAGUCCGUUGUGAAAGCCCUGGGCUCAACCUGGGAAUUGCAGUGGAUACUGGGUCACUAGAGUGUGGUAGAGGAUAGUGGAAUUUCCGGUGUAGCAGUGAAAUGCGUAGAGAUCGGAAGGAACAUCUGUGGCGAAGGCGACUAUCUGGGCCAACACUGACACUGAGGCACGAAAGCGUGGGGAGCAAACAGGAUUAGAGACCCGCGUAGUCCCUGUCUCUUAUAA
rnacentral:rRNA from 1 species